GCUGUCUGCUCGAAUACCUUCACCGGAUUUGCCAUAGCUGAAACGUAACUCUUUUCUAAGCCAUUGAAAUUAAUCUUAUUAUUAAAAUUCACCAUUAACUCUUUCAUUCAAGCUCUCAUGAUUUAAUUACCCCUUACCUAACUUCAAUCACUAAUCCCUAAUUUGCUCAACGUAAAUAUGGAUGAAGAAAACUCAGAAUCUCACUGCUACGCCUAAUACAACCGUUCUGCUUCCUUAUGCAAACAACCAGCAACAAUGGUUUCAGCCCAUAUAUUUGAUUUGAAGUCCGUUCGUGUCUCUCAAACGGUGGUGACGCGUCUUCAGCGUUUAUGGGAAGCACGGAAAGGAGGGGAGCUGAUGGAACUUCACCUGCUUCUGCUUGAUGAUAAGAUCAGGCCCCUGCAACAAUAGACUCCGACAUUGAAGAGACUCUCAAGAGUCUCUUGCUGCCAAAAAGACUUCUGAGUAGGUGUUUGAUGCUCUCAAGAAUCAGCAUGUUGACUUGGUAUUAACUGCUCAUCCCACACAAUGUAAUCAUUGGUCUUUGCUCCAAAAGUUUGGAAGUUAUAUGCGAAGAACAUUACUCCUACUGAUAACACGGACUCGAUGAAGCUCCGAACAAGAGUUAUACACAAACAAAGAACUCUCUGUAAAGCUUUCUUUAUUGCAUGAGAUAUACUAAAGCUAUGUAUUUGUUUCACCAGAUUCAAGCUGCUUUUGUCAUGGAUGAAAAUCUGAAGAAUUCCACCUACACCACAAGAAAAUGAGAGUGGGUAUGAGCUACUUCCAUGAAAAAAAACUGAAAAGGAGUUCGGAAAUUCUUGAGACGUUUUGGCACGGCUCCGAAUAACAUUUGGAUCGAGCAUGGUCAUUACAAUGCACCUCUCAUUCAGUUCUCUUCUUCUAUAGGAAACCCACAAGAAACUCCUGAAGUUACAAGAGAUGCAUGCUUACGACCCUGGUUCGAGGUGGUUGAUCAGUUGACUCAUUCACCAUUCCUUUUGCAAUUUGAAAGGUGGACAGUCUCAUUACGGUUCAAUAUAUGAAAUGACUAACUGAUAGUCUUUUUUUUAACUACUACCGAAUCACAGCUUCAUGAUUCUCUCUUAGUUUUAGAGUUACCGUAAGUUGUAGUUUGCCAAUAAAUAAUGGUUAUAGAGUUUAUAGAAAAUAACAAUGCUAUUACAACAAUUUCUCAGUGUCCUGUUUAUGACAAUAUCUUGCUUUAUGUUUCAGUAGAAGGGCAGUUCCAGGACCAAAAUAAGUAUGAAAGAUUGUAAAAAACUAUUCAAGUCUGUUUCAGCAGGUCAGUAACAAUGGAUUUGUGUUAUUGUGUAAUGGAAUUAUUACUAAUUAACAAACCUUGAAAAUAGUACUUCUAUACA